rnacentral:lncRNA from 1 species
CGGAAGUGGCCAAAAUUUCAACCCGAAAUCCGGCCAAAACCUAAUUCCAAAAUCGAUUUCCUAGACUCAAAAUUAACCAAUUCCUAUCCAACAGGCAGUUGAAGCACGAGGAGAGGAAGAAGUUUGGUACCUGGAUCGACUGAAUUCGUUGCCAGAAUCGCCGAAAUAUGCGGCUGAAAUUUUCAAGAAAUUAGACUCUAGUCCAAGCUCCAGCGCCGGAAUUAAUGGCCAUCGAGGCCAGACUCCGGCCCAGACGUUGUUGCCAGACUCCAGCCGUCAAUUCCCGACCGGUCUCUCGGCUUGGCGUCCCCGGAUAGCGACGAUCUCCUCCCAAACCGCCGCCCCCAUCCUGUACGUAGAGAAGAAUUGGGGAGAGAGAGAGAGAGAGAGAGAGAGAGAGAGAGAGAAAUCUGGUUUUUAAUACCAAUUUCACAAAAUUACUAUUUUGCCCCUCUAUGAAAUUUGACCGUAUCUCCCUCGUUACAACUCGGAUUUGAGCCCACUACGUGUCUACGGACUCAACUCGAUGUGCUCUACGCAACGAUACAAUUGAAAUUCCCAAAUUCCUUCCCGGUCAAAAAGUCAACUUUAAACCCGAUAAAAUAUUCCGGGGGUAUUCUAGUCUUUUCCUUGAAUAAAAUAGUAAUUAAGAAUUAAUUAAGGAUCGGGUUGUUAUAUUUCAACUCCAAUCAUACUCCCUAAUUUGGAGAGUCAUAAAUGCUAUAACUCUUUUUUGAUUGGUCAAUCUCUAUUAAAAAAUAAAAUAAAAAAUAUUUACCAUUAAAUAAAAGUUUGAAAUACUCAUUAAAUAAAGCAGCAUUAAAUUAUAGGGAGCCACUAGGAGUCCUUUCUCUCUCUUUAGAUUUAGGAGCUCUUAGAAGACUCCAUAUUUUAAGAGGUGGAUAAGGAGCAUGGUUGGAGUUGCAUUUUUAUGAUUCUUCUCUAAAAUUUGUCUAAGGAGGUGGUUUAGAGAGUCCAUUGUGGAUGCUCUAAGGUUCAUGGGUAGAAGUGAAGAAUAACACUAAUAUAUGAUCAAUUUGACCACCAAAAAAAAAAAAAAACUAAUAUAAGAUCCCAAAGAAUGUGAAGACUUCCAUAGUCAAAAGGGAUAUUGUUAAAUUUCAGAGAGACGGACCGGCAACUCAUUAUUAGCAACACUGAUAUUAACCCCUCAACUUAAUCACCUACAAAACCCAAUAAAUACAAGGUGUAUUUUAUUAGUCAAAGUUCCAAUAUGAGACAAGUGCGAGUGCUCAAAAUGCAGGAGUUCACCGAAGAAGAUAUGCUGGCAUAGUUUUUUUUGCAUAAAUCUAUGAUAUACGUGUCAAAUAAGAGAUUCUACGUUACAACAAUACAGUUAAUCCUUAGACUCGAAAUAUUAUGUAUGCCUUAUGUGUAUGCUAUAGUAGCCUAUGAAUGCAAUAAACUCUCUUAGCAUGGAGUGAAUAUUUUGAUUAUUUGGUGUGAUGAGUGACAUAUGGAGGCACAUGAGUGAUCAAUGGAGAAUCAAUUUAUGUAUAUGAAAAUGUCGUAAAU